rnacentral:misc_RNA from 1 species
AAAUGCGAUAAGUAAUGUGAAUUGCAGAAUUCCGUGAAUCAUCGAAUCUUUGAACGCACAUUGCGCCCCCUGGCAUUCCGGGGGGCAUGCCUGUCCGAGCGUCAUUUCUGCCCUCAAGCACGGCUUGUGUGUUGGGUGUGGUCCCCCCGGGGACCUGCCCGAAAGGCAGCGGCGACGUCCGUCUGGUCCUCGAGCGUAUGGGGCUCUGUCACUCGCUCGGGAAGGACCUGCGGGGGUUGGUCACCACCAUAUUUCACCACGGUUGACCUCGGAUCAGGUAGGAGUUACCCGCUGAACUUAAGC